rnacentral:rRNA from 1 species
UACGGGAGGCAGCAGUGGGGAAUAUUGCACAAUGGGCGCAAGCCUGAUGCAGCCAUGCCGCGUGUAUGAAAAGGCCUUCGGGUUGUAAAGUACUUUUCAGUCGUGAGGAAGGUGUUAAGGUUAAUAACCUUAGCAAUUGACGUUAGCGACAGAAGAAGCACCGGCUAACUCCGUGCCAGCAGCCGCGGUAAUACGGAGGGUGCGAGCGUUAAUCGGAAUUACUGGGCGUAAAGGGCACGCAGGCGGUUAAUUAAGUUGGAUGUGAAAUCCCCGGGCUUAACCUGGGAAUGGCAUUCAAGACUGGUUAGCUAGAGUCUUGUAGAGGGGGUAGAAUUCCAUGUGUAGCGGUGAAAUGCGUAGAGAUGUGGAGGAAUACCGGUGGCGAAGGCGGCCCCUGGACAAAGACUGACGCUCAUGUGCGAAAGCGUGGGGAGCAAACAGGGAUUAGAUACC